GACGAACGCUGGCGGCGUGCUUAACACAUGCAAGUCGAACGGAAAGGCCUUUUCGGCGGUACUCGAGUGGCGAACGGGUGAGUAACACGUGGGUGAUCUGCCCUGCACUCUGGGAUAAGCCUGGGAAACUGGGUCUAAUACCGGAUAGGACCGCACUUUAGUGUGUGUGGUGGAAAGUUUUUUCGGUGUAGGAUGAGCCCGCGGCCUAUCAGCUUGUUGGUGGGGUAAUGGCCUACCAAGGCGGCGACGGGUAGCCGGACUGAGAGGUUGGUCGGCCACAUUGGGACUGAGAUACGGCCCAGACUCCUACGGGAGGCAGCAGGGGGGAAUAUUGCACAAUGGGCGCAAGCCUGAUGCAGCGACGCCGCGUGGGGGAGGACGGCCUUCGGGUUGUAAACGCCUUUCGCCAGGGACGAAGCGUUUUGUGACGGUACCUGGAGAAGAAGCACCGGCUAACUACGUG
rnacentral:rRNA from 1 species